rnacentral:rRNA from 1 species
UACGAAGGGGGCUAGCGUUGCUCGGAAUUACUGGGCGUAAAGCGCACGUAGGCGGUCUUUUAAGUCGGGGGUGAAAUCCUGGAGCUCAACUCCAGAACUGCCUUCGAUACUGGAAGACUUGAGUCCGGGAGAGGUGAGUGGAACUGCGAGUGUAGAGGUGAAAUUCGUAGAUAUUCGCAAGAACACCAGUGGCGAAGGCGGCUCACUGGCCCGGUACUGACGCUGAGGUGCGAAAGCGUGGGGAGCAACAGGG